UCAAAUUUCACAAUCUCCUUAUGGACAAUACGAAUGUCCUUCACAAGAGUGCCACAGGCAAAAGAUUAAAAGAUACAUCCCCUUCUUGUAGAGACACAAUCAGUCGUGACAUUUCACUUUCCCAUGGUUGUUAGUCACUUCCUAGCCAAGCCGAAGUUGUAAUUUUAAUAUCUCUAAAUUGCUGCAAUUAGAAGCGGGUUUACUGGAUUUCCUUUGCGGUUUAAAAUGGCAAUGCCACAUGGAGGGAAUCCAAUUUGCUAGGGUGGGAGUGGUCCACCAAGAUGCCUGAUGGAUAGAGCCAGUCAGCAGAGACCACUGGGUGGGCUGCUGCUCAGCUCCAGGGUGCAGUGGACGUAGGUCUCACGGUCGUACGAGCCCAGGAUGAACAGCCUGGGAGGAGGGAGAGAACGUGUUACACCAAUGGAUUCCUAAUGCAACAUGUCUGAAGUCAAAGUUAUAGUUCUGCUUUAAACAGCUGCCGUGGUCUCUACGUUAACCGGGUAGCCCUCUGAGGCCAACGUAGAUGGCCUGCAAAUUGUCACAAAUCACUGAACAAAUUACGAUAUAUCAUCUUCACAUAAACAUUAUACGAUCUGAGGAAAAUAAUCUAAUAUUUAUAGCUAAUAAGCAAUUUCCCACGGAAAUCCCAAUAUUAAUGGAGGACUCUGGCAGCCAUAACAUCUGUUUAAACCUUAUGAACUACGACAGAAUUCAUGCGUCAAGUGAUUAAACUACUGCACAGAGCAAACCGAUGAGGUACACAAAAACGGACCACUGACGCGCCCUGCUGGACCAAAACAGAUUGCUCUUGCA